UCAGCUUAGGGAAGGAGGACUCUGAGGAGGCCCCGAGCGGCGGAGCGCUUCGGGGGAGGCGCCCGCGCAGACGCGAGGCCCAUAGCCAGGACCACCACCUAGCUGAUUCUUGAUGACAUUGGUCGGGAAAACUCGCCUUUCACGGCCCGGCCAAGGGGCAUUUGGGUGCUUUUGCUGCCCGUGGCUGUGCUCAGCGUUGUGGGAAGCCCCUGGGAGGCCGAAUGUGCAGGAUCACCGAGGGGAAAGUGAGCUUGACAGGAAAAGAACUACAGCCUGUGUGGGUCCCCUCCCGACAAUUAAAAUUGCACCAUAACUCCAAAGAUGAAACGCUCCCAGAAAGAAAAGGCAAAGACCCAUCGGAAACAAAAGAGCAACUUUCACCGCCUGAUACAUACACUUCAUGACAUCCACAUUGAGACAAAAUCUCGCCGUGUGACCUACAACACCUCUCGUUCAACCCCACCUACUUGGGGUCGAAUACAGAUUUUAUCUCAUCAAACAGAAAAAUUCUUAACAGAAAAAGGAAUCCCAAAAAUGACUGGUAAUAUAAUUCUGGCUGCCUUUAUGGUAGUCAGUGCAGCGUCUGCAGAUGCCUCUAAGGAGUCCGAAACCAAGUCCGAAGUCAACAACAAGCAAUGAUGGCGAUGGCGAUUCUAGUUAAUAAAAAGGGGGGAGAUGUGGGCGGCAAGCCACCCAGGCACCGAGGCAAGAGACAGAGGACACGAGCUGUUCCAGUAUAAUAAAAUAUAAAACAAGAAUAGUUAUACCAGAUAUAGAUCUUAGAUAUGAUUAUAUACGAAUAUCAUUAAUCAUGAGUUUGUAGCAAUUACUUUUUAUUCCAAUAUUAUGAUAAUCCUCGCUCUAUAAUCAUAGCCUAGGAAAAACCAGGCCAUACAGAGAUAGGAGCUGAGGGGACAUAGUGAAGUGUGACCAGAAGACAAGAGUGCGAGCCUUCUGUUAUGCCCGGACAGGGCCACCAGAGGGCUCCUUGGUCUAGCGGUGACGCCAGCGUCUGGGAAGACACCCGUUACCAGGCGGAUCGUGGCCCAGCCGUAGCAAAAGGUGUCAAGGAACACCUUUUGCAAAAGGUGUCAACACCCGCUACUUAGCAGACUGGGAAAGGGGGGCGGUCUCCCUUUCCCCGGGGGAGUUUAGAGAAGACUCUGUUCCUCCACCUCUUGUGGAGGGCCUGACAUCAGUCAGGCUUGCCCGUAGUUAUCCGGAGGCCUAACUGUCUCCCUGUGAUGCUGUGCUUCAGUGGUCACGCUCCUAGUCUGCCUUCAUUUUCCAUCCUGUACACCUGGCUCUGCCUUCUAGAUAGCAGUAGUAAAUUAGUGAAAAUACUAAUAGUCCCUGAUAUGCAGAAAUAAUGGCAUAAGCUGUCUUUCUCUCUGUCUCCUCUCCCUCUCUGCCUCGGCUGCCAGGCAGGGAAGGGCCCCCUGUCCAGUGGACACAUGACCCAUGUGACCUUACCUAUCAUUGGAGGUGACUCACAUUCUUUACCCUGCCCCUUCUGCCUUGUAUCCAAUAACAGCGCAGUCAGACAUUCAGGGCCACUACCGGUCUCCGCACAUUGGUGGUA
ensembl:lncRNA ERVK13-1 endogenous retrovirus group K13 member 1